UACGAAGGGGCUAGCGUUGCUCGGAAUCACUGGGCGUAAAGGGCGCGUAGGCGGCCAUUCAAGUCGGGGUGAAAGCCUGUGGCUCAACCACAGAAUUGCCUUCGAUACUGUUUGGCUUGAGUAUGGUAGGAGGUUGGUGGACUGCGAGUGUAGGAGGUGAAAAUUCGUAGAUAUUCGCAAGAACACCGGUGGCGAAGGCGGCCAACUGGACCAUUACUGACGCUGAGGCGCGAAAGCGUGGGGAGCAAACAGG
rnacentral:rRNA from 1 species